AGUGUUGAGAAAACAUGUGUUACAUAAAAAUGGGUGACUAGGGUUCAAGAAACUCAGGACUCUGGGCAGCUACCGGGCUUUGACACCUUCCUCAGCGGGGCCUCCCAGGAUUCCUAUGCAUUGAUUGGUUUCUGGCCAAAAGUCAUUUAUUGUUUCUCUGUCUUCAGGAUAACACAGCCUCAUUUCCAAUUCUCUGCCCCACACCACAACAAAGGCUUUGCUGCUUGAAGUCUUAAGGAGCCGGCAGUUAAUCCCUCCGAAGAAUACUUGUGAACACCCUACUAUUUGUAGUGAUCUUAACCACAGAUUUUGAGCAAGUCACUAUUUUUCUCUGCACUCUAUCUAGAAAAUAAAUAAAGGCGAGACAGGCACCGACCAGGCAGAAUAUCAUUCCUGGGGGUCUUAGCCACAGCCUGCCCGGUGCCCCAGCUGUACUUCGUCCUUAUUCUCCCACAGUGGUCUCCAAAAUGGUCUUCCCUCUCAUAGAGGCACACGCCACUGACCGGUAAGAGAAGGGCAAUGCUAAGACUCAGGUGUGACAAGUCACAAAGCAACUCCGCCUGAGAGAGCCAGUCUUCAGGACACCUAGUGACAAGGGUAAGGCCAUUGAUGGAGAGAAGAGAGAAGCCGAGUCCAUGAGAGCUCAUGAAAACAAGUUUGGAUACAAGAUGGAAUGCCUGAGGGUUUGUCCAGACUUGACACGUUUUAGCCUUGGGCAAACUUCCCUGUUCUAACUUGGGGACAGUCAGUCACUGUCUUGCCUGGUACACAGCAGAAAUCACUGGUGUGACAAUGCUAUUAAAGUCCUUUAACAUGGAGAUGUGCAAAGCUGUAGCCUCUCAGGGGGUUCCCAGGUUUUCCUUCAGGGCCGCUUCAUUAGCUAACCACAGUGCCCAGGGCCCCUGGUCUAGGCUUUCCAGUCACUUGUGCCCACUCUAUUUCAGGCUCCUUGGUGGCUGGCUGACUGCACACCGCUCCCCAGUCACACCCACACACCAGAGCUGUCACAUGCUCUCCAAAACACAACACAACCAUUUCCUCAGCCCUGGAGAUUGAAUGUGAGCUCAGAGCAGGUGCAGAGGAAGAGGGAAGAGGAAACGUGUGGGCGCGAGCAGCCUGCCCUGCUCUGCCCUGCCCUGCCCUGCCCUGCCCUGGCCAUCUCUCUCCAGGUCUCUUCUAGCUCAGAGCAACCGGCAUGUGAUAGCCUUCAGCCAGCAAGUAGGCCAAGCUGUCUGAGGGCAGCCUCAGGCUUCAGGUUAGAGUGGCUAACCCAGGUCAGUUUCAGCUAGGAUCAGUGUUGUCACUUCCUACUUAGAGAGAGCUCUUCCCAGUGGCCUGCACCUGCCAGGCAGCUAGUUGGGCUCUCCCAUUGGCUGGGAUAGCGGUGGAGUCCUGGGGAAGACGAGAGGAAGGAAAGGAGAGAGGGAAGCAAGGAGAGAGAUUUAUGAGUGAAUGUACAAAGUGUGAUGGUGGGUGUGAGAGUGUGGGUGUCAGUGCAUCAUGGACGUGUGAAGCCAGUGUCCUGUGCAAAUGAGCAGCAUGCCAUAUGUAAAUGGGCGUUGUGUGGUAUGUAGGCAUGCGAUGUGUGUUCUGUGGUACAUGAUGUGAGAUGUGAGUAGAUGAUGUGGCUGUAAGUGUGUAUUAUAUGUAGUUGGUAUGUAAUUUCUGCGUGCCCAUGAAGUUCUGGAAUUUCUGGAAGUUCUGCCAGUCAGGGCUGAAGCCGUGUGAAUGAGAGCAGAGCAUUUAACAUGUGUGGCCUGUGCAGCUUCCCUUUAAAAACCCGUAUGAGGGGAAAAGGAAGAGCUAGCAUGUGUUGGGGGUGGACGAUCCGCAGUGAUGACCUGCCUGCGUGAUAGGCUGGUAUGACAUCAGCGUAAAUACCGUGGGAGUAACCGACCGGUAUCUGACUGGAAUUAAGGCCCCUUUCAUGAGAGGGCACCUGCACCUGACACUGCUCUGGUGGCCGAGGACCCGAGACUAGAGUGAACAUGGGCCUGGGGAGAGACAAAUCCUGUCGUUCUCCUAAUGGAAUCCUGCAACUAAAUGACUCCUGACGACACUCUGCUGGACAUAUAGAGAUCGUGUUCAGCCUUCUCAGAGAAGCCUCUUCCUGCUGAUGAUGCCACCUAACACAGAGACCCACAGCUGUAUGAUGUACAGAGAGUGAGAGACCUCGGAACACUCAGUCCUGAAUGGGAUGGCUCCAUCAAUGCCCUCCCCUCAGGGUGCAGGGAGCUAGGCAGAAGGCGGAAAGAAUGUAAGAGACAGUAUCUUCCAGAUACACCAGGACUGAUUCUCAAAUGAACUCCCAGAGACUGUGGCAGCAUGUAUGAGGCCUGCACAUAUAUAAAACUAUAUAAAAUAAAAUAAAUCUUAAAGAAAAGAAUUACGAGUCUGCGCUCUGCCACGUAGGAAUGACUAGAGAGAUCCAAACUCUUAGGCCUGAAUCUGGUCAAAUGCAGGGCUGCCACUUCAGGCAUUCCCUCCCCCCCCAACUUGUGACUCACUGUCCUUUCCACAGGGACAUAUAAAUCAGUCAGCCAAUCAGUAGUAGUCAUUGGCCGAAUCUGUAGCUCAAUAGUCGAGUGAUUCCCUUGAAUGCAUGAAGUCAUGAGGUUCAAUCUCCAACACCACAAAGAGGCCACCAGUGCACUCUCACUGGGAUAAACAUCAACAGGCCCUUGAAUGCAGAAGAAUUUGGGAACUUGUGUAAGGCAGAGGUUGCAUAUUCUAACUCUCCUGAACUGCCUCCCACUUAGUUCAAGACUUUCCAGCAAGGAGAUACCAUGACUGAUGUGAACAUCGGUGAGUAUAUCAGAGAAUUAAGCUACUCUCUAAUCUACCAUCCCAUGCCACCCCAUCUUGCUUGCCUUUUGGAGGCUCUCACCUUUAUUGACAAAGACUUGCCAGACCUGGAUGGGCCAGCCUUCUUGAGGCAGGCCAGAGUCACUGGCUCCACACAGGUAGUGGCCUUCAUCUUCCUUCCUCAGGCCUGUGAUCAACACACUGAAAUGGCCAUUGUCGUUCUUGGGGGUUAGCAGGAUCCUGCCCUCAAAGGCUGAAUCCCUCUGCCCCUUGGUGUUGAUGACCACAUCACAGGUUUCCUUGUUCUUCCGGCACAGGUAUUUGGGCAAAUGUGCCACCUCACGGCCCAACGCACAGUCAAGAGUCACCGAGGAUCUCAGAUCGCUAUAAACCAGCUCUGGCUCAGGCUCUAGCACCUGGAGGUCAGUGUUCUUUAUAUCAGCAUUAGAAUCUUCCCCAGCCUGGCAGACAUACAGCCCAGCAUCACUGGGUCUUAGGUUAGUAAUGGUGACAGUGAAUUUUGACCCGCCGGUCCCGCCGGCCAUAGCAAGUUUUACUCUGCCCACAUAGUUGGGGUUCACAUUAUUACUAGAGUCAAUGACAAGUUCACAGGCCUGACCUAU